UACGUAGGGCGCGAGCGUUGUCCGGAUUUAUUGGGCGUAAAGAGCUCGUAGGCGGUUUGUCGCGUCUGCUGUGAAAACCGGAGGCUCAACCUCCGGCCUGCAGUGGGUACGGGCAGACUAGAGUGCGGUAGGGGAGAUUGGAAUUCCUGGUGUAGCGGUGGAAUGCGCAGAUAUCAGGAGGAACACCGAUGGCGAAGGCAGAUCUCUGGGCCGUAACUGACGCUGAGGAGCGAAAGCAUGGGGAGCGAACAGG
rnacentral:rRNA from 1 species